rnacentral:rRNA from 1 species
CCUACGGGUGGCAGCAGUGAGGAAUAUUGGUCAAUGGACGAGAGUCUGAACCAGCCAAGUAGCGUGAAGGAUGACUGCCCUAUGGGUUGUAAACUUCUUUUAUAUGGGAAUAAAAUGUUCCACGUGUGGGAUUUUGUAUGUACCAUAUGAAUAAGGAUCGGCUAACUCCGUGCCAGCAGCCGCGGUAAUACGGAGGAUCCGAGCGUUAUCCGGAUUUAUUGGGGUUAAAGGGAGCGUAGGUGGAUUGUUAAGUCAGUUGUGAAAGUUUGCGGCUCAACCGUAAAAUUGCAGUUGAAACUGGCAGUCUUGAGUACAGUAGAGGUGGGCGGAAUUCGAGGUGGAGCGGUGAAAUGCUUAGAUAUCACGAAGAACUCCGAUUGCGAAGGCAGUUCACUGGACUGCAACUGACACUGAGGCUCGAAAGUGUGGGUAUCAAACAGGAUUAGAUACCCGAGUAGUC